UGCCCAGCAACUCCUAUCCCUACCUCCUGGCGGUACUGGCCGGGGUACGAGUAACCUUAGGGAAGAUCGGGUAACCAACCCCCGGUGGGAACUUUGGUCGUAUGCUGACAGGGAAGG
rnacentral:ribozyme from 1 species